AGCCUCUUAUAUUUGCGCUAAGAUUUCGUCAGCAAUCAGUUCAUUACAGCUGAUGCAACUUCCUAAAUACGUGAAGUG
rnacentral:pre_miRNA from 1 species